rnacentral:siRNA from 1 species
AUCAUACCAGUGGGUUGCCUUCCA